UUGAACGCUGGCGGCAGGCUUAACACAUGCAAGUCGAACGAUGACUCUCUAGCUUGCUAGAGAUGAUUAGUGGCGGACGGGUGAGUAACAUUUAGGAAUCUACCUAGUAGUGGGGGAUAGCUCGGGGAAACUCGAAUUAAUACCGCAUACGACCUACGGGUGAAAGGGGGCGCAAGCUCUUGCUAUUAGAUGAGCCUAAAUCAGAUUAGCUAGUUGGUGGGGUAAAGGCCCACCAAGGCGACGAUCUGUAACUGGUCUGAGAGGAUGAUCAGUCACACCGGAACUGAGACACGGUCCGGACUCCUACGGGAGGCAGCAGUGGGGAAUAUUGGACAAUGGGGGCAACCCUGAUCCAGCCAUGCCGCGUGUGUGAAGAAGGCCUUUUGGUUGUAAAGCACUUUAAGCAGGGAGGAGAGGCUAAUGGUUAAUACCCAUUAGAUUAGACGUUACCUGCAGAAUAAGCACCGGCUAACUCUGUG
rnacentral:rRNA from 1 species